ACGUGAUCAAUCCAACUACCCCGCCGGCCGCGUCGGAGCCGAGGGAGAAGAAAGAAAUCAGCUGAUCGCUGACACGACGCGACUGAUCGUCGUCACGAUCUACUGACUGCCGUGCCGCCGCCGCUGCACUCGUGCCGUCGCCACAACGCACCCUUUUUGUUGGCUGCACGCAUACGCACACGGCACAUACACCCUUCUGUCUGUCCUGUGGCGCCAUCCAUCCGUUCGUUACAGGUGCGCCGGCCCGGUCUCUCCUCCUCCCAGCCGGCCGGCGGCCUCCGCUUCGCUCGCCCGUCCCUGGGUUCUCGGUUCCGCGGCACCACCGCGUGCCAUGGGGCCUCCGCGGGGCUGGACACUGCCUGCCGCCGCCGUUGCCACGGCCGGCGUCGCCUCGGUGGUGGCCACCAUCAUCUUGUCCGCGGCGGCGGCCGAUGUGGUCGAGGAGAGGCUGACGGUGCCCAUGACGAUCGUCGCUGGCGCAGCGUCGGCGGGGGCAGUGUGCCUCGACGGGAGCCCGCCGGCGUACCACCUGCACGGCGGCUCCGGCGCGGGCGCGCGGAGCUGGCUGCUCCAGUUCGAGGGCGGCGGCUGGUGCAACGACGUGCGGUCGUGCGCGGAGAGGGCCGGGACGCGCCGGGGAUCGACGCGCCUCAUGGCAAAGGCCGAGUCCUUCUCCGGCAUCCUCAGCAACCGUCCGGCCAUGAAUCCAGACUUUUACAACUGGAACCGUGUGAAGCUGCGUUACUGCGACGGCGGGUCCUUCAUGGGCGAUUCAGCAGUGUAUAUAAACAGCUCCUCGGUGCUCUACUUCAGUGGCCAGAGGAUAUGGGACGCUAUUGUCGCCGAUCUGCUCAGGAAGGGACUGGCGAGAGCCGACAAGGUUCUGCUCUCAGGCUGUUCGGCAGGAGGCCUAGCUACGUUCUUCCACUGCGACGGCCUUAAGCAGCGGCUUGGAGCCGCAGCCACGGUGAAAUGCCUGAGCGACGCCGGAUUUUUCCUUGAUCUGAGUGACAUUUCUGGGAGCAACACCAUAAGGCAAUUCUUUAGCAGCCUAGUAUCCCUGCAGGGAAUCCAGAAGAAUUUGAACAUGGACUGCCUGAGUUCAACUUCAACAGACAAUGCAUACCUGUGUUUCUUUCCACAGUUCGCGCUUGCGAACAUCCGAACCCCGUUUUUCAUCUUGAAUUCAGCUUAUGAUGUAUACCAGUUCCACCACAUUCUGGUGCCGCCUUCGUCUGAUCCUGGAGGCCAUUGGAGCCGCUGCAAGUCGGAUCCUGGUGGAUGCAACGCAACACAGAUCGCAACCCUCCAAGGACUGAGAAGUGGAAUGCUGACAUCUCUGAGACAGUUUAAAAGCAAACCGGAGGCAGGGAUGUUCAUCAACUCCUGCUUCGCGCAUUGCCAGAGUGAGCUGCAGGACACAUGGUUCGCACCAAAUUCUCCAUCCAUAGAUAACAAGAAAAUUGCAGAGGUGGUAGGUGAUUGGUACUUCGAAAGAGGAGCUGCCGUGGAGAUUGACUGCGCCUAUCCCUGUGAUUCAACUUGUCGCAACCUUAUACCAAUUGAUAAGAAUGGGUUCGCUGGCGCAUGAAGUGGACCUCGAUUCAGAGCCAUCAACAUUUGCCCAAACAUGAUUGAUUACCUGUAUAUAUUGCACAUUGCAUCACAAUUCAACUUGGCACAUGGAUGAAUAAAAUGUAGAGCCAGUGCUCUCGAAAGAUAUGCAAAAUUUGGCAUGUUUUUCCCGGUACUUUGAUCUGCGGGUCUUCCUUCAUUUAUUGGCGGCAAUGUUUUUUUUUUUGGCUUUACUAACAGUUGACUGGGUAGCUGACUUACGGAUUUGUGUGGUGCUGUGAUUGUUUCUUUGGUCAUAAAAACAGUAGACCCUACUGCUGCCCGAAUUUUGGAGGUUUCACAAGAUAAUGGGAUUUGUAGCAUCAUUUAUUUGUUGGCCUCCAUAUUCUUCUCUGUACAAAGAGGGGAAGAAAGCAAACGUAACAACACUAAUUCUUUUCUAGUGCAAUGACACAACUCUCUCGUCUCUAGGACACAAAAGUGGUUACAAUUCUUCACCUACUUGAUUUGCCAAAAAACCUGUAUAGUAGUUUCACAAAAGUCAAGCUGCUUUAUAUGCAUGCAAUGCAAAGUGAACAGAAAAAGAUUUCACGAUUCCUGAGAUUCUGGCUACUUGUCCGCAUAUGUUUGUUAUGUUCGUAAGGUGCCUUGCUAGCUUAACUGUACCUCGUUGCAUCAUUUCGACGGAUCCGCCCGCCCGGCCAGCAGAUCUGUAUGUCCUGUUGAUACGAGGACGCGGUCAGGCAGUGACGGCCGGCAGAGAUCCCUAUAUCUGGCCUUCCUUUAUAUAACGACAAGUGUUCGAGAGCGCGCAGCCCUGUCCACUGGUCGUCCAGCCUCCAGGUUCCUGAGGCUGCAAAGAUCCUGAUGGACAGCGUUGAGCCGGUGAGAGUAUCUCCCGAACGACUUGGUCAGUUUGUGCAUCAAUCUUGGCCGUGGUUCAAGGCAGCUCGGCGCGCCCAGGAGAUGGUACCGCACCAAGAAGAUUUGGCUGGCCACCGGCGUCGCCGUCACCGUCGUGGUGAUCCUCCUCAUGGUCCUCAUAGCUUGCCAUGGCUUCAAAUGUCGCUGAACCCUGAGCCAUGGGCCAGGGCUGCUCGCUGCCAAAGGAUGGGAGCACAAUAGCUCAUGCAAGCUCUAGAUAAGCUCAGCUCAAUCGUCCACUAUAUGCAGCAGUGUGCAGCUUCAAACGGCGAAGCAUUCUGCAUCUGUGCUUGUGGUGGCGGCCUCUGUUUUCUCCUCUAGCUCGUUUUGAUGUACCCUCCCAGUAGUUGAAUUGGAUCUUUGAGCGACUUACAAGCCUUCUAAAUUUUGUGGGACUUUGCCA